rnacentral:rRNA from 1 species
UGCCUGUUUUUAUAAAAACAUCACUAGAAGAUAAAGACUUUUAGCAAUACCUGCCCAGUGCGAAAUAUUACUGUAAACGGCCGCCCUAGCGUGAGGGUGCUAAGGUAGCGAAAUUCCUUGCCUUUUGAUUGUAGGCCUGCAUGAAUGGUUUAACGAGGGUUUAACUGUCUCUAAAUUUUUUAUUGAAAUUGUACUGAAGGUGAAGAUACCUUCAUUAAAAAGUUAGACAAAAAGACCCCGUGCAACUUUGAAAAUUGACUUUAUUCAGGAGUAAAAGAUUUUUAGGUGGGGCGCCUAGAAAGUAAGCCUAACCUUUCUGAGUAACUAACUCUUUCCGGAUUUGACCCGAUUAUAUUCGAUCAUAGGAGAAGUUACGCCGGGGAUAACAGGCUAAUCCUUUAGUAGAGUUCGUAUUGGCUAAAGGGAUUGGCACCUCGAUGUUGAAUCAGGGAUGAUAGCUUCAAGGCGUAGAGGCUUUGAAAGUAGGUCUGUUCGACCUUUAAUACCCUACGUGAUCUGAUUUCAAGACCGGA